UUAGUUUUCUUCUGUCUUGUUCUACUCACCUUUUUUUUUUUAAACCCUUACCUUCCAGAUUUUAGAAUCAAUACUGUGUAUUGCUUCUAAGGCAGAAGAGUGGUAAUAGCUAGGCAGUGGGGAUUAAGUGACCUGCCCAGGGUCACAUAGCUAGGAAGUAUCUGAGGUCAGAUUUGAAUCCAAGACCUCCCAUCUCUGAGUCUAGCUCUCAAUCCACUGAACCACCCUGCUGCCCUCUUCUAUUCACCAUUUUUGGGGAAGACCAUAAUUCCCUUUCCUAGCCCUCUCUCUCUAUGUUGUCUCUCCUAUCAGCAUAAAAGCUCUAUGAAAAACAGCUGUCUUUCUUUUGUGUUUGUAUAACCAGUCCCCCUCAUGUAAUAAGUGCUUCACAGAUGCUUGUGAUUCUUUCAUUAUUAUUACUAAUAAUUUUUGCAGCUGAGCAUUUCCAUCUAUGUAGCACUUUUUACCUUUCCAAAAAUAGCUGCACCUUAAAAAGUGCUUUCAUCACAGUUCUUCCAAUGGAAUAUGUCAUGCAAGAAUAAUUAUCACAUCUAUCCCACUGGACCUCAGUUUCCUCCCCUGUAAAAUGAGAAAAUUAAGCUCGGUGAUCCCUAAGGAGCACUCCACAUCAAAAUAAGCUUUGUCUCCAUGAGUUCCAAUGACUCAUUCUUUUUUUUUAAUCUCAGACGGUUUUUUAUAACUUCAGAAUAAGUCUAUAUACUUUACAGUCUGGCUGUUCGCAUUUCUGUAGCUUUGUUGGAAAUGUGAUUUUUUAUAUUUACAAAGAAAUAAUUCCCUAAGGAAACUAAUGCUCUCUACCAGACUGGUAAAUAUUUGGUAAACAUUUGAUAAACAGUGGCGAAUGUUUGUUUGUUUGUUUGUUGUUAAAUCCUUACUUUCUGUCCUGGAAUCAAUAUUGCUUAUUGGUUUGCAGGCAGAAGAGCUUCAAGGGCUAAGCAACUGGGGUUAAGUGAGUUGCCUGAGAUCACACAGUUAGGAAGUAUCAGAAGCUAGAUUUGGAUCUCCUGCUUUAGGGCUUGUUCUUAAUCCACUAAGAGACUUAGCUGGCCCCAGGGGUGGUAAAUGUAGAAUUUAUAACAUAAUCUACAAGAAGCACCUUAGAAUGAGAUGUUUCUUAACUACAAAGCUUCACUUGACCUCAUAGGAUGCCUGAGCCAACCUAGAAGGAGCAAAGGAUUCUGAAAUCCCAGAGCUGAAAAGGAGCUCAGCAUCCAUCAUCGUGUUUCCCCUGGACCCACACGAGAAUCUCUUCUCUCAUACUGACAAAUGAGGAACACUGUGCAAAACAUCCCUGGAUAUGCCUGAGAACAGAUCAGACAGUUCACCUCCUUGAGUGGCUUCUAUCUUAUAUAACCUGAAAGGGUCACCCUAUUUGCUAGUUGGAGGAACUCUUGAGAUUCUGUUCAGUGCCAUGAUUCUGCUUUCUGGGGCUUUCGGAUCUUUUAUGGGCUUUGAUCAUUUUAAUUAAGAAGUAAGAACAGACGCCCCUAAAUCAUAGUCUUAGUUCCCUGAGAUGAGUAACGGAAAUUAACAUCCUAAUUUCAAAUUAAUAAAAAAGCAGAAAUGUUUUAGAAUGCCCAGAAUAACUGUAAUCCCUAAAGGUGCAGAGUCCCAGGGUAAAACGCAUGGCUCUGUUCAACUCGGGGCAUGACCAUUCUGUAAACAUUUAUUAAGAUGGUUCCAUGUGCCAGACAUAUGGCACAGACAAAGAAAAAAGGGGUUGGGAGAAAGAGACCCUGUACUCCAAGCAUUUAUCUUCUAUUGAGGGGAACAGAGUAGAUAUGCUAUGGGAGAGGGCACUCACUGCUAGAAGGAAGAAGGAACAUGGUUGUAAAGAGUUUUGUAAAAUUUAAAGCCCUCUUUGUUAGCCAGGAUUACUUUCAAUUAGAAAUAAGUAAAAAAUCAAGAUGGCUAUGAAAAGGAAUUGUGGGUAUUCAGGAAAAUAUAUAAUGAACAUAUAUUUUGUGCAAUGUAGAGUGCUCGAUUUGGACUUGGAGGCUCUGGGUUUGGUAGUAUUUGAAGAGUGGUCAUGUGGAUGAGAGAUUACAUUCCUUAUGUUUAGCUCUAGAAGACAAAGCCAAGAACAAUGUUGUGAAAAUUUUACCAACAAUUAGACCCAUCCAAAAGUCAACUGGAAUACAAUGGGAAUUAAAAGGAAUAGUACUUAUACUCAUAGUCAUAAUGGCGGAAGUGGUAAUGAUCUUGGUACUGGUGCUGGUGGUAUGACAACAGCCCUGGGAGAUGGGUCCUAUUAUUAUCAAAUCCAUUUUGGAUGAAGAAAUUGAGGCCGAUUUAAAGUCAUUGACUUACUCAGAGUCACACAGCAAAUAAAUGUCUGAGGCAUUAUUCAAACUCCCAUCUGUCUAAGUUUAGCACAGUACCUAUCAGAUUACUUUUGCUUGACAUUUUUAAACAUCGUGUAGAGGAUAAGGUGGUAGAGUAGAUAGAGCAUACAGGGCUUGAGGUCUUGAUGACUGCCUCAGACAUUUAUUAGCUGUGAGACAGACAAUAAGAAUUCCUGAAGCUCCUGGGAAGGAAAAGACAGAUCUUGCCCUUGAGGAGUUUACAAUCUAUAUGGUGGAGACAACAAAGAUUGCUUUGUACAAACAAGUUAUAGACCGCAUAAACUGGAGGUAAUCAAUAGGAGGAUGGCAAUAGCAUUAAAAGGGAUCAGACAAAGCUUUUCAUAGAAUAUGAGAUUUUACAUAGGACUUGAAGAAAAUCAGGGGGUAGUGAUGGUGAAAGAAUAUUCUAGACAUGGAGAUCAGCCACUGAAAAUGCUUGGAGUUGGGAUACGAAGUGCCUAAUUUGUGGAAUAACAAGGUCUACUAGUAUCACUGGAUUGCUAGGUGAUUGGGAGGAGUAAAUGUGUAAGAACAAGGUAGUCAGUAUCAAAUUUUAAAGGUCUUUGAAUGUGUAAAAAUUAAAAUUAAUCUCAAUAAUAAAGAUAUUAUAUUUUAGGAGAUUUAUUAAUGAUCAUUAGAAAUAAAGGAACAAAAAAGGUAAAAUAAAAAGACCAUGUGCCCCUGGCUAAUCAGUAAUUUCAAACCCCCACACUUACCAUCUUUGCCUUCAAGCCCAAGAGAGGGGGACCUUCCACGUCUUGACCUAAUAUCCCCUAUCUAUAGGAAAUGCAUAAUGACAGGAAGUCAGUGGGCUCCUGGGAAAUGUAGUUCUUCUUUUAGGGUAACAGAUUUUCAAUUAUACAUUCCCCCUGAUGAUCAAUUGGGGGGGGCUAGUCUCCCCAAUUUGAUCAUUAAACAUAAUCAACUUUUAAAUUACAGUAAUUUGUGGAUAAAAGGGAAAAGAACAAACCAUGAUUGCUAGGUGCUUUGACAAAAAGCCUGUUUGGGGACAGUCCCCUUCAGCAUAAGAGUAUACACACACACACACACACACACACACACACACACACACACACACACACACACACACAAAA